GCCAACAGCAAGAAAGACCCGUCUUCCUUACUGCGAGGACGCAGCCAAUGAGAAACCGCAGGGUCUCUGUACAGGGGUGGCACCCCCAAACACCUUUUCUCCUAUAAAAGAGUUCUCUUUCCCUUGUAAGGGGCUUCAGCAAGGCUUUCCAUUGUUGCAGACUUCAAGUUACAGUUCUCUGCUCAUCCUGAAUAAUUCUUUUUUCUGGAGAAAUAUCUGCAGUCUAUUUGUUUCAAAUCAAAAUAUGUUUUUUUAAUUUUCCUUUUUUUAAUCUCUGCAGUGGCACGUUGGCAUAGCUGACACCAAGGAAAUACUGACCAGGUGAACUCAUGGAUGCUCUAGGUUCUGCUGUGGCCAAACGGUGUUUCUAAGCCCUUUCACAUAUGCAGGCAAAAUUUACCUACGGCAGAUAACAUGCUCAGGAAGUGAUCACUGGAUGAAAUCACUCCGAAAUCACGAGAAGAAGGCUGCUCACCAUCAAGCUCGGCGGCCCUCCAGGCGGAUGGAGCCCGGGUCAGCACCAAGCCAUUUCCAUCCUGCUGGCCUGCAUUUGCAAACUUAUGCUCAGCUUCUCUCCCAGUGUUUCCCAAUCGCCCACCUCUGCAAAACAGCCUCCUUUCGGUUCUGGUUCUAGAUGGAUUUCCUGUCUUUUCACGUUUGCACGCACACUCGAACUCAGUUAUUCCUCAGCUGCCUUGCACCAGUCUUCACUGCUCUGAUCGCCGGGUCUUGAGCGUGGAGGAAUUGAAGCCUGCCCAGAGGAGGUGCGGGUCCCCGCCUCAUAUAAGCACAGUGACGUUUGAGAACCUUUUGGUGACCUUUUUGACCUUCCACACCCACAUGCUGGUGACAGUUCCACUGCUGGAGUGGGUCCAUCACACGUGAGUGCAAAGCCUUCUCUCCAAGAGGGUCAGCCCUCCCACCGAUAGUGGAGAGGAGGAGAAAGUAAGGGAGCAGGCAGGGGAGGCUAUUUCCUAAGCACCCCAACUUUUGUGAAUGGAGAAAUCUGAUGGACUUCAAAGCCUCACGGUCUCUCAGAGUCUGAAGUACCCUGUGGAAGCAAAGCAGGGCUCUUCCAACCCAAAGGCCGUCUCCUCACCCAGAGCGAAGCCUGAGACCCCUCCCCUCCAGCUCUGAUCCACUUAACAGGCGGCUCUUGAGACCUCCAGCUUUCAGGGAGUAUAAACCUGCAGCAAAUGAAACUGCAAAGCCUGGCUCCUGGACCAAAACCCAUUCCCUCCUCAGGAAGGCUCUCCUCUCCGUGUCCUAUGUGUCUUCCAUUCUGUUGCUGUCAAGAGUCCGUGUUCAUGGCUCAUUCUCCUUGGUAUUUUCAGUCAUUGAGCCUGUAAUGUUCUACUCUUGGAAUAUUACAUUUGUCAGGAGGUGUAAACAAAAUUCCAAACCUGAAGCUACAAAAGAGAAAUAAAAAAUACUGUUUGAGCAA